rnacentral:rRNA from 1 species
AGAAUCAACGCUGGCGGCGUGCCUAACACAUGCAAGUCGCACGAGAAAGGGUAGCAAUACCUAAGUAAAGUGGCGCACGGGUGAGUAACACGUGAAUGAUCUACCUCCGAGUGGGGAAUAACUGAGAGAAAUCUUAGCUAAUACCGCAUAACACUUACGAGUCAAAGCAGCAAUGCGCUUGGAGAGGAGUUCGCGGCCGAUUAGUUAGUUGGCGGGGUAAUGGCCCACCAAGACGAUGAUCGGUAUCCGGCCUGAGAGGGCGCACGGACACACUGGAACUGAAACACGGUCCAGACUCCUACGGGAGGCAGCAGUGGGGAAUUUUGCGCAAUGGGGGAAACCCUGACGCAGCAACGCCGCGUGGAGGAUGAAAUAUCUUGGUAUGUAAACUCCUUUCGAUGGGGAAGAUUAUGACGGUACCCAUAGAAGAAGCCCCGGCUAACUUCGUGCCAGCAGCCGC